rnacentral:tRNA from 96 species
GCCGGUCUAGCUCAAUUGGUAGAGCAACUGACUUGUAAUCAGUAGGUUGGGGGUUCAAGUCCUCUGGCCGGCACCA